AGAGUUUGAUCCUGGCUCAGAUUGAACGCUGGCGGCAGGCCUAACACAUGCAAGUCGAACGGUAACAGGAAGCAGCUUGCUGCUUCGCUGACGAGUGGCGGACGGGUGAGUAAUGUCUGGGAAACUGCCUGAUGGAGGGGGAUAACUACUGGAAACGGUAGCUAAUACCGCAUAACGUCGCAAGACCAAAGAGGGGGACCUUCGGGCCUCUUGCCAUCGGAUGUGCCCAGAUGGGAUUAGCUAGUAGGUGGGGUAACGGCUCACCUAGGCGACGAUCCCUAGCUGGUCUGAGAGGAUGACCAGCCACACUGGAACUGAGACACGGUCCAGAUUCCUACGGGAGGCAGCAGUGGGGAAUAUUGCACAAUGGGCGCAAGCCUGAU
rnacentral:rRNA from 1 species